GCCGGGUAGCUCAACUGGUAGAGCAACUGACUUGUAAUCAGUAGGUUGGGGGUUCAAGUCCUCUCGCCGGCACCA
rnacentral:tRNA from 1 species